GUGCUCUCUUUGGCAGCACAUAUACUAAAAUUGGAACGAUACAGAGAAGAUUAGCAUGGCCUCUGUGCAAGGAUGACAUGCAAAUUUGUGAAGCGUUCCAUAUUUUA
ensembl:snRNA U6 U6 spliceosomal RNA